GUGGGUGUGCCGGAGUGGUUAUUGGGUAUGACUAAAAAUCAUGUGGACUUUGCUCGUGCAUGUUCGAACCCUGCCGCUUACA
rnacentral:tRNA from 1 species